rnacentral:rRNA from 1 species
AGCCAGACUCCUACGGGAGGCAGCAGUGGGGAAUAUUGCACAAUGGGGGAAACCCUGAUGCAGCGACGCCGCGUGAGUGAAGAAGUAUUUCGGUAUGUAAAGCUCUAUCAGCAGGGAAGAAAAUGACGGUACCUGAUUAAGAAGCCCCGGCUAACUACGUGCCAGCAGCCGCGGUAAUACGUAGGGGGCAAGCGUUAUCCGGAUUUACUGGGUGUAAAGGGAGCGUAGACGGUGAUGCAAGUCAGAAGUGAAAGCCCGGGGCUCAACUCCGGGACUGCUUUUGAAACUGUGUAACUGGAGUGCAGGAGAGGUAAGCGGAAUUCCUGGUGUAGCGGUGAAAUGCGUAGAUAUCAGGAGGAACACCAGUGGCGAAGGCGGCUUACUGGACUGUAACUGACGUUGAGGCUCGAAAGCGUGGGGAGCAAACAGGAUUAGAUACCCCGGUAA